rnacentral:rRNA from 1 species
UACUCAAGGGGUAGGAGUGAAAUCCUGUAAUCCUUGGGGGACCACCUGUGGCGAAGGCGUCUCACCAGAACGGCUCCGACAGUAAGGGACGAAAGCUGGGGGAGCAAACCGGAUUAGAUACCCGGGUAGUCCCAGCCGUAAACGAUGCGCGUUAGGUGUAUCGGUGACCACGAGUCACCGAGGUGCCGAAGAGAAAUCGUGAAACGUGCCGCCUGGGAAGUACGGUCGCAAGGCUGAAACUUAAAGGAAU